AGGAACAAUCUUAGAUGUGCAAUCCCUCCAAAGCCACUCACUUUUCUUUUAUUGCUGCUACGAGAUUCAUACGCAUAACGAAUUCCAUACUGACCAUUCCAGAAGACAAGGGGUAUGACUCAUUUCUCUAUUCAAGCUAGCUAAUGAUGUCCUUUUCCUAUCUAAUCUUAUUUUAUUAUUGUUUAUAUGGAAAGCAGACCUUUUAUCUUGUAGUAUCAUAAAUGGAGAUUUGAUGAUAUGUCUCCAUCUCUCAUGUUCCGCUAUGUGACUCCUCCUUUUCCUAUUCCUCCACCUCA
rnacentral:lncRNA from 1 species